AGAAACUUAGGAUAGCCCAAAACCGAAGGCCUUCAAAGCCUUAAACAAGAGUUAAACCCUCUUAGUUUCUG
rnacentral:tRNA from 1 species